rnacentral:rRNA from 1 species
GUAGGUGGCAAGCGUUGUCCGGAAUUAUUGGGCGUAAAGCGCGCGCAGGCGGUUCUUUAAGUCUGAUGUGAAAGCCCUCGGCUCAACCGUGGAGAGUCAUUGGAAACUGGAGAACUUGAGUACAGAAGAGGAAAGCGGAAUUCCACGUGUAGCGGUGAAAUGCGUAGAGAUGUGGAGGAACACCAGUGGCGAAGGCGGCUUUCUGGUCUGUAACUGACGCUGAGGCGCGAAAGCGUGGGGAGCAAACAGGAUUAGAUACCCUGGUAGUCCACGCCGUAAACGAUGAGUGCUAAGUGUUAGGGGGGUUUCCGCCCCCCUUAGUGCUGCAGCUAACGCAUUAAGCACUCCGCCUGGGAGUACGGCCGCAAGGCUG